rnacentral:rRNA from 1 species
GUCGGGAAUAUUGGGCAAUGGAGGCAACUCUGACCCAGCCAUGCCGUGUGCAGGAUGACGGCCCUCUGGGUUGUAAACUGCUUUUAUACGGGAAGAAAAAAUACUACGUGUAGUAUACUGACGGUACCGUAAGAAUAAGGAUCGGCUACCUCCGUGCCAGCAGCCGCGGUAAUACGGAGGAUCCAAGCGUUGUCCGGAUUUAUUGGGUUUAAAGGGUGCGUAGGCGGAUCUUUAAGUCAGUGGUGAAAGCCUGCAGCUUAACUGUAGUAUUGCCAUUGAAACUGAAGAUCUUGAAUGUGGUUAAAGUAGGCGGAAUGUAUCAUGUAGCGGUGAUAUGCUUAGAUAUGAUACAGAACACCGAUAGCGAAGGCAGCUUGCUGAACCAUUAUUGACGCUGAGGCACGAAAGCGUGGGGAGCGAACAGGAUUAGAAACCCCGGUAGUCC